AGAAAUUGUUAGGGAAGUGUCAGUAACAAGGGUAAAGGGGAAGAUUCAGAGGAGGAAGGAGGAGAUGAUGGACAGAGGGCUCCUGAAGCACCCCUUUUAAACACAAGCCGUUUUUCAGGGGAGAGGAGGCGGUGGGCACACAGACAACUGCACCUCUGCUCUAAAUAAUUAUGAAGAUAUUAAGAAAACUCUCUACAGUAUCAAAAACUAAGACAACAUUCAACCUAAAACCAGAAUCUAUCAUAAAACCAAGAAAUGGCCUUAUGAGAAGAUAAAAACAUAGUGAAAAGUAGUAUUCGAGGUAAAAACAUGCUAGAAAUGGACGGGAUGGCCACUAAGCACAUCAACUCUGACUCACACUAUGGACUUAUGGUGAGAAUUUCAUCUGAAUAUCAACAAACAGAGAGUGGUGCAGAGAACAAUCCGCUUGUUUGUGUCUACAAUCAUUGGGUCUAAUCAGAUCUUGAUAUAUUAAAAUAGAUAAGCAAGAGUCUCAGGAAAUCAUACUGCAGAGCAAGAGAAAGUUAACAACAUCCAAACCUUGGAUUCUGGGGAAGAGUAUUCUCCUGGAAGCACACUCCUGAAGACCAGAAGAAACUUUAUGAGUAAUCAGCACACCUGGAUAGAGUUCAAGAAGAUAUAAUCACUAAGAAAGUGGAGCAGAAAAUAAUGCAAGAAAGGUCUGGCAUAAUAAAGAAAAAGGAUGACAGCUUCAAGAUAAAGAAAUGAACAAAGCAAAAUCCGUUUUUGCUCUACAACUAGAGAAAGAAAAAUAUAUAUGCAAAUUCUUAAUUUAAUGAAUACAUACUUGCCUUCAAGAUGCAAAGGAAGGAAUUCUUACACCAGAGGCUUUGUGGCAACUUCAGAGGAAGUAAUAAUACAUUAGCUUCAGAGCUAAAUCAAAACUACUCCAGCAAGUUGUCACCCAAUAAGAUGCCACUACCUUCGCAGGAAACUGUACCUUUAAUGCCCUAUGACUAGACAAUUUCAGUGACAUAGGCCAUUGAAAUGAUGCAGACUAGGACACUGGUAGGAAAACUCCACUUCAUAAGGUGAGCUCAAAAGAACCAACAAGCGUAUAAGGGAUGCCUACACCGUGAAAGACAUGUAUCUAAAACCACAAUAACAAAAAAACACCCAACAAAUUGAAGAACUUACAUCUGAACAGAAAUAAGAGAAGAACAAUAAAAGAUUUAAAGUAAGUAUCCUUUAGACUGUAAAGACAUAAAGGAAAGUCAAAUAAGAACAGGAAGUCAUAAAACAAAAGUAGAUUUUCAUGGAAAAGUACCACUUAGAGAUCCUAACAUUUCUUUUAAAAAAUAAUUGUUUAGGAUUCAGACAGACACUUGUACACCAAAGUUCAUAGCAGGAUUAUUCACAAUAGCCAAAAAGUGAAAACACAAAUGUCCAUUAACAGAUCAAUGGAUGACAAAAAUGGAGUAUAUACAUAAAAUGGAAUAUUAUUUAGUUACAAAAAUGAAAUUCUGACACAUGCUACAACCUAAACGAAUCUUGAAGACAUUAUACUUUGUGAAAUAAGCAUAGACAAGAAAGGACAAAUGUUGUAUGAUGCCACUUAUAUGAGGUACCUGGAACAAGCAUAGAGACAGGAAGUAGAAUCGAAGUUACCAGAGGCUGGAAGAGUUGCAGAGAAGGAAUUGUUGUUUAAUGGGCCAGAGCUUCUGUUUGGGGUAAAAAGUGCCAGAACUAGAUGGUGGUAAUAGUUGCUCACCAUUGUGAAUGUACUUAAUGCCCUGAACUGUACACUUAAAAAUGGUUCAAAUGGUAAAUGUCAUGUUAUAUAUCUUUUACCACAAUAAAAGAGAUCAAAAAACCUACCUGUUUAAAAUUUAAAGUUUAAAUAUAAAAACUCAACAAAUGAAGAGUCGGCUGGACAUAAGUGAAUUGGCUAUCUGGAAAAUCAAACUAAGGAAGUACUCAAGUACACAGUUCACAGAAUUAAAGAGAAGGAAAGUGAGGAGAAAAGUUAACAGAUAUAAAAGAGAUGACUUUAGAAUGUCAAUAUCCAUCUAUUAGUGACACCUAAAGGAAAGACUAGAGAGCAUGUAGAAGAAGCAGCACUCAAAGUACUAUAAGCAGAUAUUCUCAAGAAUUAUGACAAGACCUAAGUUUUCAGAUGGAACAAGCCCACUGAGUAUGAUCAGGAGAAACAGAAGAAAAACCAAACCUAAUCUAAGAAAUAACUAUGAUAGAACUUCACACUGUCAGAGGAAAAAUAAAAUCAGAAAAGCUACUGUGUUAAUUCUGUCUCACACUGCUAUAAAGAAAUGCCCGAGAUGGGGUGAUUUAUAAAGAAAAUAGAUUUAAUUGACUCACAGUUCCACAUGGCUGGGGAGGCCUCAGGAAACUUACAACCAUGGCCGAAGGGGAAGCAGGCAUGUCUUACAUGGCAGCAGGCAAGAGAGAAGAGCUCAUGAAGGAGGAACUGUCAAACACUUAUAAAACCAUCAGAUCUUGUGAGAAUUCACUCACUAUCACAAGAACAGCAUGAGGGAAACUGCCCCCAUGAUCCAGUCACUUCCCUCCAGGUCCCUCCCUCGACACAUGGGGAUUAUGGAGAUUACAAUUCAAAUUAGAUUUGGGUGGGGACACACAGCCAGACCAUAUCAGUCACCAAAAAGAAAGGGUUUGUUGUCUGGGUCCUUGAGAAAGAAAAUUCCAAAACAAGGAUUUAAGUGUUUAUUAUUUCGUUUUUUUAAUUUGAUACUUCCCCUUUAAUAUAAAGAAUGUGAAAAUAUUAAAACCCGCCAUAGUAAACUUUUUUAGAACUAUUUCCCAACCUUAUAGAGGUGUAAGUAAUAAAAAUUAUAAAUAUUUAAGCUGUA